AUACUUACCGGGCAGGGAAGAAACCACAAUCACACAGGUUGUUUCUUCGGGGCACAGCUCAUUAUUGUGUACCUGAAGUGCUGACCCUGAGAUUCCCUUAAGUCGGGAAAGCUGACUGCAUAAUUUGUACUAGUGGGACACUGUUAACACUCUCCUCU